AUUGAACGCUGGCGGCAGGCCUAACACAUGCAAGUCGAGCGGCAGCGGGAAAGUAGCUUGCUACUUUUGCCGGCGAGCGGCGGACGGGUGAGUAAUGCCUGGGAAAUUGCCCAGUCGAGGGGGAUAACAGUUGGAAACGACUGCUAAUACCGCAUACGCCCUACGGGGGAAAGCAGGGGACCUUCGGGCCUUGCGCGAUUGGAUAUGCCCAGGUGGGAUUAGCUAGUUGGUGAGGUAAUGGCUCACCAAGGCGACGAUCCCUAGCUGGUCUGAGAGGAUGAUCAGCCACACUGGAACUGAGACACGGUCCAGACUCCUACGGGAGGCAGCAGUGGGGAAUAUUGCACAAUGGGGGAAACCCUGAUGCAGCCAUGCCGCGUGUGUGAAGAAGGCCUUCGGGUUGUAAAGCACUUUCAGCGAGGAGGAAAGGUUGGUGCCUAAUGCGUAUCAACUGUGACGUUACUCGCAGAAGAAGCACCGGCUAACUCCGUGCCAGCCGCCGCGGUAAUAC
rnacentral:rRNA from 1 species